rnacentral:lncRNA from 10 species
GUAGGUAUACAGGUCCUACCCUCCCUCCCUCGCCCUCUCCACUCCUGCCUCCUGGAGACUCAGCGAGCUCGUCCCUCAUUGACUCUACAUCACCCCUCACCCACCGGUCCCAGGUGCACACACGAGACCAGGCCCAGAGGUUGUCUGCAGAGUGAGAUUAUGGCGAAGCAUUUUAUUCUUUUUACAAACCUGCUUUUUCUCAGUUUUCCACAUUGGAUUUGCCAGCUACCUGCCUUUGCAGGACACCUCAGAAGUUACAGACUUGCCUGUGGAAAUGCAGAGAGCACCUGAGGUAUUUCCCGGACUCUCCAGUAGUAGCCUUGAAUGGCUGACCAACCGCAGUCACCUGCCAGAUCUUCUCAGAACCGGCCAGCCCACCAGCGACAGGCCCAUUAAGUGGCCUGGCCCAGCCCAGAUGGAAAACCCCCUCCACGUGACUUUCUAAAGAACAUGCAUGAAGACAAAACACCAGGUGCCUCAGGUGUGACACCCUGAGGACACAUCACCUGUACAGUAUCCUAACCCACCCAAGAUGACACAGUAAGGUAAAACCACAGUAGAGCCCAGGCCUGUUUGACUCUGAAGUCCAGGCUCCUUUCCAACUUAGUGCCCUAAAGGCCUGAUUGGGGUGGGGGUAGGCAGGAAGAUUCAAGCACUGAUUGUUUGUAGCCCAGGCUGGGAGGGCAACAGCUCUAGAAAAAAAGUCACUCACUGCUUUAACCAUCUUCCAGCUAACUGCAGUGAGGUGUACAGGGCCAUGGGGCUCUGGGAUGAACUCUUCCACCUCUACACCUUGUAAACAAGGAUUCCAGACACACCCUCCAAAUGGGAAUGGAGACACACGUUUGGCAGAGUUGGACAGUAACGCUGCUCUCCUAUCAGCCUGGACUUUGAGGGGAGUGGAAAACAUGAGUGUGGAGGUGCAGCAGUCCUGGUAUCCCCUGAAACCAGCCUGUGGGGGGAACAGUCUUCCCAGGGGAGCUGCUCAGGAUCGUCCUGGUCCCAUGCAUCAGGAAGAAAAGGGAACCUGAGAGCAGAGGGAAAAUGCAGAAAGUGGGGCAGGGAGACUGCUCCCUGAAACCCCCAUGGGCUGCUGGUCCAAGCAGAAAGUGUUGUCGGAGGGGGGAGAGGCAGGGUGAAAUGGGACAGGAAACGAGGACUUCCGAUGAGGAGGAGGAGGGGGCAGUGGGCUGCGGGUCUUGGGGACUGAACAGAAUGGGGUUUGCUAGACAGAGCUUUCGUCUACCCACUCCUGAAGUCCUGCUGGACCUCAGCUGGCCCUUGUGAACUGUUGAGGGGGAUAUAAACACAAAGGCCUGCAUUCCUGUGGGUGCACAAUCCUAAGAGACCAUGGACUGCCUGUGUGUGGUGGGAACAGGAAAAGGAGGCUGAGUGUAGCCCUGCUUGGAAUUUAGUGUCCACCACAGAUGUAUCCACUACCCAGGGCCAAAGACUCGGCAGCCUCAGAAGACUCAAUGGAAGCUGAGCACAGGACUAGAAAGGGUCAGGGCCCUCCUCUGUAUGUAGGGGUGGCACAUGGCCACUAGCUGGGUGAUGGGGCACUGAGAAAUUAAAUGUUUGACAUAAAAAUGUAAUCAGGACCCGAGAGGAGGUGGGUGGUGUAAUGAACAGCAUCCUAGAAGUCCGGUACAGAUUUCACGUGUCACCUUCUAGUUCCUUAUCUGAAAUUGAAAGGUGAGGUCAGGUGCAGUGGCUCAGGCCUGUAAUCCCAGCACUUAGGGAGGCUGAGGAGGGCAUAUCAUUGAGGUCAGGUGUUUGAGACCAGCCUGGCCAACAUGGUGAAACCUCUACUAAAAAUACGAAAAUUAGCCGGCUGUGCUGCACACGCCUGUCGUCCCAGCUACUUGGGAGGCUGAGGCAGGAGAAUCCCUUGAACCUGGGAGGCAGAGGCUGCAGUGAGCUGAGAUCACACCACUGCACUCAAGCCUGGGCAUCACAGCGAGACUUCUUAAAAAAAAAAAAAAAAUUUAAAGGUGAGCCAGUUCAGGCUUCUAGAGGCACUGCAGUUACAGACGGUAAACUGCACAAAUCCUGGGUGUGAAGCUGUUUUUUCCUGUGUAACCACCACCCAUUGACAGCAUCCCAGAAAGUUCAAGUGUGUCCCUUCCCAGUUUACAGCCACCCGCCUCCCACCCUCACUUCUAAAUCCACCGAUUAGCAGUGUGUCUUGGAAAUUAAUAUACAAGGAAUCAUAUAGUAUGUGCUCUUUUGUGUUUGGCUUCUUUGCUCAAGAUGUCCGUGAGAUUCAGCCGGGUUGCCUCUCUCUGUAAUAUGUUAAUUUAGGUGUAGUAUCCAUUGUCUGGAAAUACAAUUGUCUAUUCUCUACUGGUGGAUAUUUGAGUGUCUCUGGUUUGGGGCCAUUAUAAUAAAACUGUUGUGAAUCUUCUUAUACAAGUUUUUUGGUGGACAUCAGCCUCAUUUCUCUGAAAUGAGUGGAAACUGCUGGGCCGGAGGGUAGCUGUUGUUUUUAGCUUUAGUGGAUAUUGCCAAGUAGGAAGUAGGGAGGUGAUUAUUACAGUCUCUAAUAUAUAAAAAAGGAGUAGAGGGGGAAAGAGAGGAAAGAAAUAGAGAUUCCAUAAACUAUUCCCAAAACUGAUCCUUUAACAAAUCUGGAGCACCUCCUCUGCACUGUAAAAGCUGAGGAGUGCCUCUUCCCACGCUUUCAUAUGUCUUGAUCUUAUUCACCUGAUCCUCACCCCACUAGGGCAGCUGUGCCUUGCUGGAACUACCCAGAAGGUUGCAAUUAAAGCUUGGCCAGUUAGAACAAGCACAAGCGCUGUGCGGGACACAUCACUACCUGAGUGGCAAAUCUGAAAAUUCAUUCCUCACAAGCUGCUAAAUGGUGCUGACAGACCCACCCUGUGUUUCACCACCUGGAAAGAAAUCAGGGUUAAGGCAGCUUUUACACUUCAUGCCUCAGCAACUUGCAUCAUAGUCUUUUAAAAUAUAUCCAAAGCAACCCCCUCCAGAGGCUCUGGGUGUGUCAGAGGUCCCUGCCCUCUGCUCUCUGCCAGCUCACAGAGAAACAGGCAUUCUCCCUUCCAGGUGCUCCUCAUUUGCACUGAAGAGGUCAGUCAACUCCUAGGACAUCUGAAAGGGAAACCCUGACUCCAAGGGUUAUAUUGUGUUCUGGAUAAUAGAACUUGCCUUUCUGUAGAGCAGGUUUUCUCAACCUUGCCACUACUGACAUUUUAGUCCACAUAAUUGUUAAUGGGGGCUGUCCUGGGCAUUUUAAGAUGUUUUGCAGCAUCCCUGGCCUCUACCUACUCGAUGCCAGCAACACUCCCUCCAGUUGUGACAACAAAAAAUGUCUCCAGACGUUGCCAAAUGUCCCCUGGAGGGCAAAAUUACCACCAGUUGAGAACCACUGUG